ACCUUCGUGGUGUAGUGGUCAGCACGCUCGACGCGUAUUCAAGAGGCCCAUGGUUCGAAUCUCGGCAAGGGUA
rnacentral:tRNA from 1 species